rnacentral:rRNA from 1 species
GAUGAACGCUGGCGGCGUGCCUAAUACAUGCAAGUCGAGCGAACAGACGAGGAGCUUGCUCCUUUAACGUUAGCGGCGGACGGGUGAGUAACACGUGGGUAACCUACCUAUAAGACUGGGAUAACUUCGGGAAACCGGAGCUAAUACCGGAUAAUAUUUCGAACCGCAUGGUUCGAUAGUGAAAGAUGGCUUUGCUAUCACUUAUAGAUGGACCUGCGCCGUAUUAGCUAGUUGGUAAGGUAACGGCUUACCAAGGCAACGAUACGUAGCCGACCUGAGAGGGUGAUCGGCCACACUGGAACUGAGACACGGUCCAGACUCCUACGGGAGGCAGCAGUAGGGAAUCUUCCGCAAUGGGCGAAAGCCUGACGGAGCAACGCCGCGUGAGUGAUGAAGGUCUUCGGAUCGUAAAACUCUGUUAUUAGGGAAGAACAAACGUGUAAGUAACUGUGCACGUCUUGACGGUACCUAAUCAGAAAGCCACGGCUAACUACGUG